rnacentral:rRNA from 1 species
ACCCUACCAAGGCUUGACAUAUACAGGAAUAUGGCAGAAAUGUCAUAGCCGCAAGGUCUGUAUACAGGUGGUGCAUGGUUGUCGUCAGCUCGUGUCGUGAGAUGUUGGGUUAAGUCCCGCAACGAGCGCAACCCUCGUUCUGUGUUGCCAGCAUUUAGUUGGGGACUCACAGGAGACUGCCGGGGUUAACUCGGAGGAAGGUGGGGAUGACGUCAAAUCAUCAUGCCCCUUAUGUCUUGGGCUGCACGCAUGCUACAAUGGCUGGUACAAACGGCUGCGAUACCGCAAGGUGGAGCGAAUCCGAUAAAGCCAGUCUCAGUUCGGAUUGGGGUCUGCAACUCGACCCCAUGAAGUCGGAGUUGCUAGUAAUCGUAGAUCAGCAACGCUACGGUGAAUACGUUCCCGGGGCUUGUACACACCGCCCGUCACGUCACGAAAGUCGGUAACACCCGAAGUCAGUGGCCCAACCGUAAGGG